rnacentral:tRNA from 1 species
GGAGGUAUUGUUCUGUGGUAGAGUGUGUGCUUAGCAUGCAUGAGGUCCUGGGUUCAAUCCCCAGUACCUCCA